UUAGGUUAAGUUAGGAAGGGCGCAUGGUGGAUGCCUUGGUACUAGGAGCCGAUGAAGGACGGGACUAACACCGAUAUGCCUCGGGGAGCUGUAAGUAAGCUUUGAUCCGGGGAUUUCCGAAUGGGGCAACCCAAUAGUUUUAAUCGACUAUUAUCCGCAUCUGAAUUCAUAGGAUGUGUGAAGGUAAACGUGGGGAACUGAAACAUCUCAGUACCCACAGGAACAGAAAGAAAAUUCGAUUCCCUGAGUAGCGGCGAGCGAAACGGGAACAGCCCAAACCAAGAAGCUUGCUUCUUGGGGUUGUAGGACUGAACAUUUGAGUUACCAAAGAGCUUGAUAGCUGAAGGGCCUGGGAAGGCCAGCCAGAGAGGGUGACAGCCCCGUAAGUUAAAUCAAACUCCCUCAGUUCAGGAUCCUGAGUACGGCGGAGCACGUGAAAUUCCGUCGGAAUCCGGGAGGACCAUCUCCCAAGGCUAAAUACUACCUAGUGACCGAUAGUGAACCAGUACCGUGAGGGAAAGGUGAAAAGCACCCCGGAAGGGGAGUGAAAUAGUUCUUGAAACCAUGUGCCUACAAGAAGUCAGAGCCCGUUAAUGGGUGAUGGCGUGCCUUUUGUAGAAUGAACCGGCGAGUUACGUUCGUAUGCCAGGUUAAGUUGAAGAGACGGAGCCGAAGCGAAAGCGAGUCUGAAGAGGGCGAAUUAGUAUGCGGAUGUAGACCCGAAACCAAGUGACCUACCCAUGUCCAGGUUGAAGGUGCGGUAAAACGCACUGGAGGACCGAACUCGUGUACGUUGAAAAGUGCUGAGAUGAGGUGUGGGUAGCGGUGAAAUUCCAAACGAACUUGGAGAUAGCUGGUUCUCUCCGAAAUAGCUUUAGGGCUAGCCUCGGAAUUAGGAUCGUGGAGGUAGAGCCACUGUUUGGACUAGGGGCCCGUCAUGGGUUACCGAAUUCAGAUAAACUCCGAAUGCCAUCGAUUUAUGUCCGGGAGUCAGACGGUGAGUGAUAAGAUCCAUCGUCGAAAGGGGAACAGCCCAGACCACCAGUUAAGGUCCCUAAAUAUAUGUUAAGUGGAAAAGGAUGUGGAGUUGCAUAGACAACUAGGAUGUUGGCUCAGAAGCAGCCACCAUUUAAAGAGUGCGUAAUAGCUCACUAGUCGAGUGAUCCUGCGCCGAAAAUGUACCGGGGCUUAAACAUAUUACCGAGACUGUGGAUGCCACCAUUAGGUGGCGUGAUAGGAGAGCGUUCUAAGGGCGACGAAGGCAGACCGUGAGGACUGUUGGAGCGCUUAGAAGUGAGAAUGCCGGUAUGAGUAGCGAAAGAUAGGUGAGAAUCCUAUCCACCGUAUGACUAAGGUUUCCUGGGGAAGGCUCGUCCUCCCAGGGUUAGUCGGGACCUAAGCCGAGGCCGAGAGGCGUAGGCGAUGGAUAACAGGUUGAGAUUCCUGUACUAGUUAAACUUGUUUGAACAAUGGAGGGACGCAGGAGGCUAAGGAAUGCACCCGAUUGGAAGUGGGUGUCCAAGCCGUAAGUCUGAAGUCGAGUCAAAUGCUUGAUUUCUUAAGGACAAGCGGUGAUGGGGAGUGAAAUUUAAGUAACGAAGUUCCUGACGUCACGCUGCCGAGAAAAGCUUCUAGUUAGAGUUUAACUACCCGUACCGCAAACCGACACAGGUAGUCGAGGAGAGUAUCCUAAGGUGAGCGAGAGAACUCUCGUUAAGGAACUCGGCAAAAUGACCCCGUAACUUCGGGAGAAGGGGUGCUGAUCGCAAGAUCAGCCGCAGUGAAAAGGCCCAGGCGACUGUUUAUCAAAAACACAGGUUUCUGCAAAAUCGUAAGAUGACGUAUAGGGGCUGACGCCUGCCCGGUGCUGGAAGGUUAAGGGGAUGAGUUAGCGUAAGCGAAGCUUUGAACUGAAGCCCCAGUAAACGGCGGCCGUAACUAUAACGGUCCUAAGGUAGCGAAAUUCCUUGUCGGGUAAGUUCCGACCCGCACGAAAGGCGUAACGA
rnacentral:rRNA from 2 species